UACGUAGGGGGCAAGCGUUGUCCGGAUUUACUGGGCGUAAAGGGCGUGCAGGCGGUUUGUUAAGUGCAGAGUGAAAGCUCCCGGCUCAACUGGGAGAGGUCUUUGCAUACUGGCAAGCUCGAGGGAGGCAGAGGAAAGUGGAAUUCCCGGUGUAGUGGUGAUAUGCGUAGAUAUCGGGAGGAACACCUGUGGCGAAGGCGGCUUUCUGGGCCUUACCUGACGCUGAGACGCGAAAGCGUGGGGAGCGAACCGG
rnacentral:rRNA from 1 species